rnacentral:lncRNA from 1 species
GCCGGCUCCAGCGCCGUGCCAAGGGCUGCUGUGCUGCCGGGGCCCGGCUGCAGCCGCAGGGAGCGGCCCGAGCUGCAACAGCGGCUCUGGGCCGGCAGGGCCGCAGCAGCAGCAGCAGCAGCAGCAGCAGCAGGAGGAGGAGGAGGCGGCAGUUCCCGGGCCCGGGAUGAGCGCUGGCAUGUAUUAUCUGAGCGGAGCUGAUGUCUCUGACCGCUUUAGCUCUAGAAUUACUCUGAGGCCCGGGAAGGCCCCGCUGGCCGUGGCAGUGGAGCUUUUGGCGGCGCUGGGAUGGAGUGGCCACGGCAGAGUGUUGCUCCGCUUGAGCCUGGGACCUUGUGGCCAGCCCAGAGUUGUGAUGGAGCGUUUUGGAGCGUCCCCAGGGCUGCAGGUCGGAACCUGGGCUGCGACAGGUACUUUCCCAGAAAAGUAACUACAAACAUAGAUGUUUAUAUAUGCUAUUAAAGAAAUGUCUUUUGAUGGACAUUUCUCAGGACCAGUGUGGUUGGGACGGUGGUAACCUAACCAUCCAAUCCCUGGUUGUUGUCAGGAAUCUAUAAAUACUGAAACCACAGAAUAAAUCACUCUCUUUUUCCUAUCA